CCUGUGGCGCAGUGGGUCAGUGUGUCUGGCUGUUAACCAGAAGGUUGUUGGUUCGAUCCCCGCCACCAGGA